CACGUAGGGGGCAAGCGUUGUCCGGAUUUAUUGGGCGUAAAGAGCUCGUAGGUGGUUCGGUAAGUCAGGUGUGAAACCUCCAGGCUCAACCUGGAGACGCCACUUGAUACUGCUGUGACUGGAGUCCGGUAGGGGAGCGUGGAAUUCCUGGUGUAGCGGUGAAAUGCGCAGAUAUCAGGAGGAACACCAGCGGCGAAGGCAGCUCGCUGGGACGGUACUGACGCUGAGACGCGAAAGCGUGGGGAGCGAACAGG
rnacentral:rRNA from 1 species